ensembl:snoRNA U8 U8 small nucleolar RNA
UCAUCAGAUGGGCUAAUCCUUACCAGUUCCUCCCUAUGGAGGGCAGAUUAGCAAAUGAUGAUUGGAGUUUGCAUCAUACGCAAUUACGCGUCUCUGCAUAAUCAGGACUUGUGACACCCUGAUUGCUCCUGAU